ACCUUUCAUUCACCUCAAUAGUACCUGCUGCUAUCUUGAUCCAUCCCAAAGUGUAUGGAUUAGGAUGCUUUUGGUUGGUAAACCCAAACUCUUCACAAGCUCUUUCCCUACAAUGCUUUCACAAUUACCACUACCAAUAAUAACACCAAAUAUUCUAUUAUUAAUAGCGCACCUGGUUCGAAAUAGUUGGUAGCAUUGUGUUUGAUCCUUUUACUUUGGAGCUAGCAUCAUCCUUCUAACCACAUAGUUUUGCCCCUCAUCAAGUUCCUUUUCAUAUUCAUCUUCUUUCCUUUUGGCUUCACAAUAAAUUUCAGCCCCAUCUUCCUCUCCUCUUACAACAACAUUCACUGUCUUCCUCAAAGGGCAAUCACUAGAACAAUGCCCUUGCUGGUUGCACUUAAAACACUUCCCAUGGAUCAGUAUAGCAUGAGGAUUGGUGGCUUUAUGCGUCUCUUUCUCCUUCCCUUCAUUCAUGGGACACUUUCUGGUUGCUUUCUCUUUUUGGGCAAGCUCUUUUUUAAUACGGUUGCUACCAUACUUCUCUUAAGGUCCACCAUAAUUAUUUACUUCAGCUCUAGCACCUGGACUUGUGGUCUUAUAGGAAUUGAAACUCCUCCUUUGCAUCAUAUCCACCUUCAAGGCCAAUUUUUUAGCCUCGAAUGAGGAUCACAAUACUUUAACUCCAAUCUGGUCCUUAAUGGCCAACUUUAAUCCCUCCAAAUACCUUGCAAUCUGCUGGACUUCGGAUUCAUGAAAGUUAUUUGUUUCAACCAACCUCAUGAAUUCAACUGUGUAUUCAGGAGCCGUUUGGCUGUGUAUUCAUGAAACUCCCAUUUAAGUUGAGAAUAUCAACUUUAAGCCAAAAAUCCUUGUUCUCCCUCUCAUCAUAACCACGAUCACCUCCUCUCCUCCCAUAUUUUCCUUGCCAUUGGUGUCUAGGAAAUUCAUGGGUUCAUAUUCAUCCUCCUCUUCAGAGUCCUCAUUGUAGACAAGAUGUCUACGUGCAAGAAUUGGCCGUUCAAUUGGGUCACCAUGGGCUGCAUCAUCCCUUGGCCUUCUAUUGUCCACCCGAUCCCUGUUGCCAUUGAUUUCUAAAGCAUCAAGGCAAUCUGCAAUUUCUUCGAGACAUCUUUCUAUACAUUCGAAUCUGUGGUCCACUUGCUGCUCUUGUAAUUGCUCCAAACAUUGCUCCAAACAUUGCAAUGUGUCGUUCCUUAGUUGAAGGGCUCUAGCUCUCUGAUCACCAUUGCGAGAGCCAUUGUCAUCAUCACUGCCAGUUGCCAUCCUUACUUUGAUACCAUCUGACGCAGGUAGCUAGGUAACAUACUCACACUCACACGUGAGAGAGAGAAAAUUUGAGAGAAAUCUCGGCUGUAAUUUUAUUGAUUAAAAAAAUCUAUUGGAAUAAAUAAAGAAUUGGGGUAUUUAUAGAGUUUUUAAACCCCUAAACAUAAAUAGGAAAGGAACUCGAAAUUAGGAACCUAAUUACAACAGAAAACCUAGGUAAAAAAGGAUUAAACUAGUCCUAAUAAGAAUAGGAAAACAAAUAAACUCUUAAAUAAAGUUGGAAAGGCCCUAAAUUAACUCCUUUUAGUUCUCCUUUGUUGUUUCUCCUACUUUUCCAAAAAUUCUUCACUUAUUUCAUCCACAUCAUUUCAUCAUACCUGCAAACACACACCAUGCAAUAACAUGUGCAUAAGUACACCCUUAUAUAUGGUGGAACAAUGUUUUAAAGGGAAAAAUAACUCUUGUGAAAAUUAUAUUGACUAAAAACUCUCUUUAAUACAUAGAAUUAUGGGGUAUUUAUGGAGUUUAGACUCCUAAACUAACUAGAAAAAUAUAAAUCCUAAGUAGGAAGUUUUCCAAAAUAGGAGUCCUAAUAGAAUGGGAAGAAAUAAUCUAAAUCCUAAU
rnacentral:misc_RNA from 1 species